GCGGCUGUGGCGAAGUGGUUAACGCACCGGAUUGUGAUUCCGGCAUGCAUGGGUUCAAACCCCAUCAGUCGCC
rnacentral:tRNA from 3 species